CGCGGAGGAGGAGCUACACAUGCAAGUCGAGCGGUAGCACAGAGAGCUUGCUCUCGGGUGACGAGCGGCGGACGGGUGAGUAAUGUCUGGGAAACUGCCUGAUGGAGGGGGAUAACUACUGGAAACGGUAGCUAAUACCGCAUAACGUCGCAAGACCAAAGAGGGGGACCUUCGGGCCUCUUGCCAUCAGAUGUGCCCAGAUGGGAUUAGCUAGUAGGUGGGGUAACGGCUCACCUAGGCGACGAUCCCUAGCUGGUCUGAGAGGAUGACCAGCCACACUGGAACUGAGACACGGUCCAGACUCCUACGGGAGGCAGCAGUGGGGAAUAUUGCACAAUGGGCGCAAGCCUGAUGCAGCCAUGCCGCGUGUAUGAAGAAGGCCUUCGGGUUGUAAAGUACUUUCAGCGGGGAGGAAGGUGUUGAGGUUAAUAACCUCAGCAAUUGACGUUACCCGCAGAAGAAGCACCGGCUAACUCCGUGCCAGCAGCCGCGGUAAUACGGAGGGUGCAAGCGUUAAUCGGAAUUACUGGGCGUAAAGCGCACGCAGGCGGUCUGUCAAGUCGGAUGUGAAAUCCCCGGGCUCAACCUGGGAACUGCAUUCGAAACUGGCAGGCUAGAGUCUUGUAGAGGGGGGUAGAAUUCCAGGUGUAGCGGUGAAAUGCGUAGAGAUCUGGAGGAAUACCGGUGGCGAAGGCGGCCCCCUGGACAAAGACUGACGCUCAGGUGCGAAAGCGUGGGGAGCAAACAGGAUUAGAUACCCUGGUAGUCCACGCCGUAACGAUGUCGAUUUGGAGGUUGUUCCCUUGAGGAGUGGCUUCCGGAGCUAACGCGUUAAAUCGACCGCCUGGGGAGUACGGCCGCAAGGUUAAAACUCAAAUGAAUUGACGGGGGCCCGCACAAGCGGUGGAGCAUGUGGUUUAAUUCGAUGCAACGCGAAGAACCUUACCUACUCUUGACAUCCAGAGAACUUAGCAGAGAUGCUUUGGUGCCUUCGGGAACUCUGAGACAGGUGCUGCAUGGCUGUCGUCAGCUCGUGUUGUGAAAUGUUGGGUUAAGUCCCGCAACGAGCGCAACCCUUAUCCUUUGUUGCCAGCGGUCCGGCCGGCAACUCAAGGGAGACUGCCAGUGAUCAACCUGGAGGAAAGUGGGGAUUGAACGU
rnacentral:rRNA from 1 species